rnacentral:rRNA from 1 species
UACAGAGGGUGCAAGCGUUAAUCGGAGUUACUGGGCGUAAAGGGUGCGUAGGUGGUUAUUUAAGUUGGCUGUGAAAUCCCCGGGCUUAACCUGGGAACUGCAACCAAAACUGGGUAACUGGAGUACUGUAGAGGGUAGUGGAAUUUCCGGUGUAGCGGUGAAAUGCGUAGAGAUCGGAAGGAACACCCGUGGCGAAGGCGGCUACCUGGACAGAUACUGACACUGAGGCACGAAAGCGUGGGGAGCAAACAGGG